UGGGGAAUUUUGGACAAUGGGCGCAAGCCUGAUCCAGCCAUGCCGCGUGAGUGAAGAAGGCCUUCGGGUUGUAAAGCUCUUUUACCAGGGACGAUAAUGACGGUACCUGGAGAAUAAGCCCCGGCAAACUUCGUGCCAGCAGCCGCGGUAAUACGAAGGGGGCUAGCGUUGUUCGGAAUUACUGGGCGUAAAGCGCACGUAGGCGGAUUGUUAAGUCAGAGGUGAAAUCCCGGAGCUCAACUUCGGAACUGCCUUUGAUACUGGCAAUCUAGAGUCCGGAAGAGGUUAGUGGAAUUCCCAGUGUAGAGGUGAAAUUCGUAGAUAUUGGGAAGAACACCAGUGGCGAAGGCGGCUAACUGGUCCGGUACUGACGCUGAGGUGCGAAAGCGUGGGGAGCAAACAGGAUUAGAUACCCUCGUAGUCCCUGAGCGGGCUGGCAAGGCGCAU
rnacentral:rRNA from 1 species